ensembl:snoRNA small nucleolar RNA, H/ACA box 2C
GUGGCCCUCACUGAAGACCAGCAGUUUACUGUGGUUGUUGGUUUCAAGCAGAGGCCUAUAGCACUGUCUUUCUGUGGUCUGGUGGCUGUUCUGGAACCUCAGCAGAGAAUGGCUGUUUGAUUGAACAGAAACAAAC